AAUCAACGCUGGCGGCGUGCCUCAGACAUGCAAGUCGAACGAUUAAAGCUCCCUUCGGGGAGUGCAUAAAGUGGCGCACGGGUGAGUAACACGUAAGUAAUCUACCUUCGAGUGGGGAAUAACGUUCGGAAACGAACGCUAAUACCGCAUAAUGCAGCGGCAUCUAUGAUGACAGUUGUUAAAGAUUUAUCGCUUGAAGAGGAGCUUGCGGCAGAUUAGCAGGUUGGUAAGGUAAUGGCUUACCAAGGCUACGAUCUGUAUCCGGUCUAAGAGGACGGUCGGACACACUGACACUGAAUAACGGGUCAGACUCCUA
rnacentral:rRNA from 1 species